rnacentral:rRNA from 1 species
UACGUAGGGUGCAAGCGUUGUCCGGAAUUAUUGGGCGUAAAGAGCUCGUAGGCGGUUCGUCGCGUCGGCUGUGAAAUCCCGAGGCUCAACCUCGGGUCUGCAGUCGAUACGGGCGGACUGGAGUUCGGCAGGGGAGACUGGAAUUCCUGGUGUAGCGGUGAAAUGCGCAGAUAUCAGGAGGAACACCAGUGGCGAAGGCGGUGAUCUGGGCCGGAACUGACGCUGAGGAGCGAAAGCGUGGGGAGCGAACAGG